rnacentral:rRNA from 1 species
CACUCCUACGGGAGGCAGCAGUGGGGGAAUAUUGCACAAUGGGCGCAAGCCUGAUGCAGCCAUGCCGCGUGUAUGAAGAAGGCCUUCGGGUUGUAAAGUACUUUCAGCAGUGAGGAAGGUGGAUAUGUUAAUAGCAUAUUCAUUUGACGUUAGCUGCAGAAGAAGCACCGGCUAACUCCGUGCCAGCAGCCGCGGUAAGUACGGAGGGUGCGAGCGUUAAUCGGAAUUACUGGGCGUAAAGCGCAUGCAGGUGGUUUGUUAAGUCAGAUGUGAAAGCCCGGGGCUCAACCUCGGAAUUGCAUUUGAAACUGGCAAACUAGAGUACUGUAGAGGGGGUAGAAUUUCAGGUGUAGCGGUGAAAUGCGUAGAGAUCUGAAGGAAUACCGGUGGCGAAGGCGGCCCCCUGGACAGAUACUGACACUCAGAUGCGAAAGCGUGGGGAGCAAACAGGAUUAGAUACCCUGGUAG